UGGCGGACGGGUGAGUAACGCGUGGGUAACCUGCCUCAUACAGGGGGAUAACGGUUAGAAAUGACUGCUAAUACCGCAUAAGCGCACAGUACCGCAUGGUACGGUGUGAAAAACUCCGGUGGUAUGGGAUGGACCCGCGUCUGAUUAGCUGGUUGGUGAGGUAACGGCCCACCAAGGCGACGAUCAGUAGCCGACCUGAGAGGGUGACCGGCCACAUUGGGACUGAGACACGGCCCAG
rnacentral:rRNA from 1 species